rnacentral:rRNA from 1 species
GCAGUCAAGCGGGGAAGAGUAGCUUGCUACUUAACCUAGCGGCGGACGGGUGAGUAAUGCUUAGGAAUCUGCCUAUUAGUGGGGGACAACAUCUCGAAAGGGAUGCUAAUACCGCAUACGUCCUACGGGAGAAAGCAGGGGACCUUCGGGCCUUGCGCUAAUAGAUGAGCCUAAGUCGGAUUAGCUAGUUGGUGGGGUAAAGGCCUACCAAGGUGACGAUCUGUAGCGGGUCUGAGAGGAUGAUCCGCCACACUGGGACUGAGACACGGCCCAGACUCCUACGGGAGGCAGCAGUGGGGAAUAUUGGACAAUGGGGGGAACCCUGAUCCAGCCAUGCCGCGUGUGUGAAGAAGGCCUUUUGGUUGUAAAGCACUUUAAGCGAGGAGGAGGCUGCCGAGAUUAAUACUCUUGGAUAGUGGACGUUACUCGCAGAAUAAGCACCGGCUAACUCUGUGCCAGCAGCCGCGGUAAUACAGAGGGUGCAAGCGUUAAUCGGAUUUACUGGGCGUAAAGCGCGCGUAGGUGGCCAUUAAGUCAAAUCUGAAAUCCCCGAGCUUAACUUGGGAAUUGCAUUCGAUACUGGUUGGCUAGAGUAUGGGAGAGGAUGGUAGAAUUCCAGGUGUAGCGGUGAAAUGCGUAGAGAUCUGGAGGAAUACCGAUGGCGAAGGCAGCCAUCUGGCCUAAUACUGACACUGAGGUGCGAAAGCAUGGGGAGCAAACAGGAUUAGAUACCCUGGUAGUCCAUGCCGUAAACGAUGUCUACUAGCCGUUGGGGCCUUUGAGGCUUUAGUGGCGCAGCUAACGCGAUAAGUAGACCGCCUGGGGAGUACGGUCGCAAGACUAAAACUCAAAUGAAUUGACGGGGGCCCGCACAAGCGGUGGAGCAUGUGGUUUAAUUCGAUGCAACGCGAAGAACCUUACCUGGUCUUGACAUAGUAAGAACUUUCCAGAGAUGGAUUGGUGCCUUCGGGAACUUACAUACAGGUGCUGCAUGGCUGUCGUCAGCUCGUGUCGUGAGAU